rnacentral:rRNA from 4 species
CCCUUCCGUAGGUGAACCUGCGGAAGGAUCAUUA